CAUUUUCUAUGACCCCGCCCAUCGAGAAGCAUGCGCGCGUGAGAUGAUGGUUGAGGAAUCAUACCCACGUAGAAUCUUGCUUUGAUUUCUGGAUCUUCGCCCGCUCAUCUACAGAGUCCAAGGACCAAGCCUCCGUCUCCGGCUCGCGGAGUCCAACUUCCAAGGCCAUGCCGCGCCCAGGAUAACUUCUCUGCAUCUGGUGGCCAGCUAGCUAGCUAGCGGGCCGGGCCGGGCUCAAGCAAGGAUGCACCCACAUGUCAUAGCCAGCUUUAACCCCUCUAACCAUAGGAUCCUCUCUGCUUAUAAUGGAUGACAUAGAGGGAAAAUUCUCUGGUUCAAAAAGGCAUGACCAGUACAAUUGAAGUUCUGACACUGAGUGGAAAGCAUGUUGUAUUGCAGACUGACAGGUGUGUGAACAUGCAAAUGGAGUAUAGUGCAUUAGCAGAAGAGAUGAUUAACUUUGGAAAUUGAUGCGCAAGUUACCUGAGCGAUGGAUGCUGGGAUACAUUUAACAUCCAACCGACCAAAACAUCUACCACUGACUGACUAUUUUCAAAGUCGUGAGAAUAGAAUUUACCCGAUAUGCAUUCCGUAGAUCAUAGUUUUUAUGAACCCUCACCUAAAAAUGUGGCCAAAAUGCAACUUUGGAAACUUCGGAAUGGAAAAGUAAUGUUUUAUGAUCAGUCUAUGAGCAUUUUCACAAUUGUCAGAAUGUUUAAGGUUUACAAAACUUUACAAGGAACUUUCUCCUGAAUGAAGCAAAUGACAGCUACAUGUAGGUAUUGAUAAUUAAGAAGAGACCUGAAAUUUAAAAAAAAUGUUAUUCUUGUUUUGGUGGCAGUGACUUGAUAAUGACAGCAAGUGGCAUUCUUUCAAUCGGUGUCACCUAUCAUAUUUGAUGGUUUAAGAACCAUACCUGUCAUGAUAACAAUGCUCCAGUAAAUAAGAGGAGAUAGUUUGAACUUGAGAGUCGGCUCUCAGAGGGAUCCAAGCACCCAGGAGGGUCUCCAAACAAGGUUAGAGUGCAUUCAAGAACAACAAGAGGACAUUGGCAAGAGCAACAUUGCAAAGCAUUUACAGUCACUCCUUGUACUAAUGGUUGGGAAAAGAGUAUUUAACAGAUGCCGAGGACAUGACAUGAAUUCCCUAGCAGCUGAAAAGAGCUUCCAUUGUCAGACCUAAUAUCAUUUUCACAUAUAAGAGGAGAUACUUUGGACAGUUGAACUUGAUAUUCAGCUCACAGAGGGAUGCAAGCACCAGGGAGGCUCAGAAGGCAUAUCUGGAGAGUAUUCAAGAGCAAUGAGAACAGAAGCAAGAGCAGCAUUGCAAAGCACCCACCGACACUCUUUUUCACGGAUGACGAGGACAUCUCAUGAAUUCCCUGGCAGCUGAAAAUGGCAUCCAUCGUCAGACCUGAUAUCAUGUUCAAAAGAGGACCAGGACCCCAGGAGGUUUGGAUGUGAUUGUGAAAUUUUUGUUGUUAAAUCUGUGUAAAUUUUCCAAGUGCUGUACAAUAUGUUGAGGUUCAGUGGCGUAUCCAAUAUACAAAUAAUGAAUGUUUAUGAGUGCGGUAAAAGAUGAAAUAAUGAUCCAUUCAAUUCGGCUACGCCUCGUUGAAUGGAUCAUUUCAUCUUUCACCUAGUCAAAUAUUUCAAGUAUUCUGUCCAUUGCACGAAUGAAAAAACAUUCAUUAUUUGGUUUAUAUGACACCUAAAAAUUGUUUUUUUCAUAUGAAAUUUAUGAAUUUUGAUACAAAACAUGCUCAUGCAGUGCGAGUUCGGUCUGUUGAUUGUUACGUCAUUACAACAUGCGCAAUGGACAAAAUCGUAUGGAUCCAAAAUUGCAUGAUGAAUGGAUCCAAAAUUGCACGGUUGAUGACGUCAUUGCAAAAUGGGCUAAAUGAACGUUAUCAAACAACCAAUCAAAUCACAAGGAUCUAUCCAGGUGUCAUAUAAUUGGGUUUAACACAAUACCAUUUAACGUCUCAUACUGUUUGGGUCCAAAGUAUCCGGCUGGAUGCGCCACUGAAGAAUUUGAUUGUUUGAAAGUGUGAAUGCUGUAGUAAGUGGGAUUGAUUCUUUUUUUUUCUAAAAGGUGAUAUUGACUAAUGGGGAAUACUUUUUAUUCUCAAAGUUGAUGUAGCAGUUUUGAUCGUUGAGGAAAAGAUUUUAAGAAAGUUGUGUACAGUUUGUACAGUGCUACGGCAUGUGACAAAAGUCUGUUACACAAUGUGUGUCAAAGUCAUGAAAUGAAUAGUGCAUCCAAAAAAUACCUCUUUUUUCUUUCCAGGGUUCUUUGUUGAGAGACUAAUCUAAGGCUACUUGUUCAUUUUCCAAAGCUCUUUCCUCUUUCUAGGGCUACAGCUUUUAGACCUACAUGUAGUUUGCAACAAAAACCAAAAGAAUUGUUGAAGCAUGAGAUAUAAAAGCCGAAACAAUAACAGGGCUGGAUUUAGCGGGAGCCCGGUGGCGAAUGGCUCCCUAAAACCUCUGCGGGCUCCUUAGAAAGUAAUUGAAAAAGCCUGGCGGGCUCUCUACAAUUUUCUAGUACCAGCCACCAAAAAUGCAAUUUCUUGCUAGCACACUAAUCCACGCUUUAAUCUAUCUAAAAGUCUAAAACAUGUUUUCAAAAUCAUAACAAGCCUUGAAAAUAGUGACAGUUUCAAAUUGCUUAGCUGCGUCUUUUUUUGUGUAACACGUUUUUCCACACACAUGGUAUGGAAAAAAAAGAAUCAGGCCGGUGUAGCGGCGAAUACUGUAUCUGCCGGCAGAUAUCGUUCUAAAUGGCUGAUAUCGUUUUUAAUCGGAACCAUAUCCGCCGGGUUUGACGCGGCAUGAUGUUUGCAGAUUUGGUUCCUCGGCGGAUUUGGUUCUAUUGACUAUAUGUGUAAUAUUGAUUUGGACAGACAACCUCGGCAGCGUGCGCAUGCGCGGCUCUGGCAAUGUCGAUCGCAAUGGGGGGGGGGGGGAGAUUUUCGUCCGCCUUUAGUGAAUUUUUAUUCAGGGGCGGAUCCAUACAGCUAUUGACAAAGGGCUCAAUGGGUGUGAGGAUUAAUAGGAGAAAUAAUGUCUCGAUAUUUCAUGUAUUACAUAGACCUGGCACAUACGCCAAAACUUUGCUAUUUAUUAUUAUCAGAUUUUGAUGAAAUUUUCAUCAUUUUGUUUUGUGAAUUUUUAAACUAUUUUCAUUCCGCAGUAUGCAUCGAUCUCUUUAACUGUCCUUUCUAACACCAUGUUUAGUGUCAGUUUGCCAGACUGUUAGGCGAAAAUUUGCACCCCCAUAUAGGCCUGUAGGUUUUUGAAACUACAAAUGUUCAGAAAAAUUUCAACAAGUUAAACUUCAUAUUUCAAAAUAAAUGAUGCAAAUUAGUGUAGAAAAUAUGUUUUGCUGUUAAACUCAUAUUAUUGCUUGUAGAAUGCUAAUUUUUGCUGAAAACAUAAAUUUGACAUUUCUAACAAACAUCCAAAAAAAAGAAUGUCAAAACAUAUUUAAUUUCUUAUGUAGUUUAUUGUAGGCCUAUUUUUAAGUUCUCAUGUAUUUUUUUAAUUUUUUUUUCAAUAUUUUUGUUAUGGAAUCUGAAUUAAUUAAAGGGGACCAGAAGUUCACCCUGACAAAAGUUAGAUAUGCCACUUACAUGUACUGUUUGGUGCUCCCUAAUUUACCUCUCAGUCAUCUAAUUUAAGAUCAAUAUGGGAUCUUUAGUGAAAUAUAAUUUCUCCUUUAUAUCUUUUGUUUCUCUUACUGUACCCCCUCCUGGUUUUCAUCUCUUUAUUUUUUGCCUUUCUUUCUGUCCCUGCUCAUUUCGCCCCUUUUGCCUCUUCUCCAGUUUCCUAACCUUUCUGGCACAUUAUGAAUAUAUCUGGGGCGUAUACAGUACGCAUGGGUGAUAUAGCACCAAAAAGGAGAAAUAGCAAGAGGAAGGGGAGGGAGAGAAAAUAGAAAAAAUAUACGAGAAAAUGUGGAAGAAAUAAUAGUAAUACAUUGGAAUUUCGCAAAUCAAGAAUUUCAUUAGCAGUGAUCAUUAUCUAUACUUCCCUUUAGAAAGCUUAUUACAAAAUCCUGAUUUUAAUUAUCGAAACUGCCAUAGCUUGCCUUUAUUUAAUACUCUGUAUCAAUCAUAAUUGAUGCAUAUUGUACCAAAUUUAUCCCUAAAUUUGUGAUAAGAAGGAUUUUUCAUAAGUACUGCAAUAGAUUAAUAGGUAUAAAAUAAAUUAACAAAUGCAUGUUAUUUGAUUACAAGCAUUAUUAUCAUAUCUUGGGGUAAAUUCUUUGUAUACUAGUAGUGCAGCAGACAUUGAAAGUUGAAUGAAGACUGAAUGUGGACUAAAAGACCCAGACCCCAAAAUUUAAUUGACAAAUCAGACAAAACGAAAGCUAUUAAUCUAAACUAAAAACAGAAAUACAAGUUUUAUGCAGUCAUCGCUUAAAGCUGAAUAUUUUGCUUAAGAAUAGCUCCAAUUAUCGGGUUUUUCAUCAUGCCAUCUUUUGAGCAGCCGCUGCUGCUCUUCUGACUUGAAGACCACCUUACGGGGCCGACGUUGUGAUUAGCUGGCGUCUCCACUAGAACUUCUAGUUCCAACGUAAUGCAAACUUCUCUGAUUAGUCUGAGUCUGACUCUGUCCCUCAUCAUCAGGAAAAAGGCAGAAUUUUGAUGCUUUCCUCUUCAAGGCUUUGGUAGGCCUAGUAUUAGACCUAGUAGAAUCCGAAAGGUAGCUCUCAAUUAGAGCCACCUCUUCUUCGAACUUCAUAAUGAAUAAACGUUGGCUAGUAGUGCCGGUGGACCUAGAAAAGAAAGUAGAUUCUCCUCUACAUGUACAGUCUCUACUCUAGUCUAGAUGAUCUCUAUUCACCACUGGUCAAGCUCAACAAUCAAUCAACCAAACAUUCUUAUGCACACGACAAUGCGCACACAACCGAAUUACGAAGAGUUGACACAUAUUGCGACGGACGUGCACAUUGAUAAGCCUUUGCACAUGCACAGUGGUCGCUCGUUGUAACUUUGGUUAUACAACAGCAGCACUUCAAUCACUCAUAACAGUAACUUAUCUCAAGCACACAACAAGCACAUCAAACGGUAUCUAAGAACAUUUCCAGUAGCGAACCACAGUUGCACAGCAUACAUCCUGUUCAUUCAGACUUCUCUCUAACUGCAGGGGUGUGAGAGCUCAGCUUUUAAGCUGAUUUCAGAUAUUUUUGGGUUUUGAUUUUCAGCUUAUUUUAGCGUAUUUUAGCUUAUUGUAGUUUUCCUCUGUACAAAACCUGUAGUCUGAGCUCUUUCUGUUUCAGCUUUUUCCAACACUCUUCAGCUUUUUCAGAUCUUUUUAUUUGUGACCACUCACACCCCUGUAACUGACAUUCUACAUGUAGCAUGGUAAUUAAGUCGAGGGUUGAUGACGGACGGUUUGAUCGAAAUAUGCAAACACUAUAUAUUACUAAGACAAACCUUACAUGUAAGACUAUUUACUACAACUCCAUGAUUCACAUCAACGAUCACUGGUCACUACUCGAUCCAAUUAGACAUUCGUUUUAUUUGAGUUAACUAAACCGGGUCUAAGUAAUUUCUCAUUUUUGGAAACUAAAAAGUAGAGUUAUACCCGAUUUAAAGCAUUUAUUAACAAUGAAUAACUGGUAAAUUCCUGAAUAGUAGAAGUGGCAUUUCCAUCAAUGUUAUACAGUAUUGACAUAUUUACAUGCUUUAAAACCAAGUCCUAGGUUACAUGGCUGAUGUCUUUAUACAGUUACUCAAAUGUUCGCCGAACAUCAAUAAUCCUACAAGUGACAAGAAAUUUCUGCUCAGUUUGUCGCUCUUUGAAUAAACUGAUCUUAAAUUCUACAAAAUAGAGUGUUUGAUUUUAUGUUCAUUAAAAGUGUGAACUUCAGAAAUAUUUCCAUCUAACUUCAUCAUUUCCAUAACCUUGCUGCGAGUAGGCCUUUUUUAUAUUCUCUACGUUCUUCCAAACAACAUUCCAAGUUGGUAUAAAGGUGUCUCUGUUUCUGCACCAUCAUUUUGCUUAACAUAUCUAGUGCAUGCAUAGAUAUCAAAUAUUUUUCUCCUGUCUAGAAAAUCAUCCUCAACUUUCCUGUUCCAACCCAUUGCACCACUGCAAUAGCAAUUCCAAGGUCUCUCCACCCCGGCCUAUUUCCUGCCACUAACUCCUUGUAAUAUCUGGCCUCGAGAUUUUAUCUCCAAAAUAUUGGCUAACAAAGUCCUUUUUAUACCAUCAACUUUCUAUGUUCAACCUGGUCCAUAACUAUGGGUGGCCAACUUGUUGAAUCAAAGGCUGUCGAGCGGUCACUGGCCGUUUGCAGUUCCUUGUCAGGCUUUGAUGAAUUUGUCAGUGUUUUGUUUGUCUGAACUCAUUUUAUCUCUUCAAAUCCCAUUACUCUUAUAUUAGCCUUGAGUACCCUUUACAGUUCCCUACACAUAAUGUGCUGUGUUACUUCAUCUAUAGUGAAUUCGUGUAUGUAGGGGCUACUAAGAUUUUGACUUACCUCCUUUUGUAUCCUUUUAGGUUGUGCAAGUAAGUCACAAUAUCCUCAUAAACGAAAUUGAAAGUGCCCUUGUGGAAGCGAUGGAUAUUAAUGAUAUUGAAUAUCAUGUUAUCCAUUAUCACAUCUUUGAACAUAGAUUUUCAGCUUUGACGAUUGCUAGUAAUUUAUGCUUUGUUUUUGAAAAAGGGAAAAUUAAGUGAUGAAUAAUGAAUUUUCAUAAUUAUAAGAGUUAUCCAAGGAUGGGUAUAACAUUUGGGAUUUGACAUUGCAGUGUUUAGUAUGUAUAGGGUUAUAGACCUUGCGUAUUUUCUGUAUCGCCUGACGUAAAACAAUCCUUUUUACGAACUGGUGACGAGCAUGGUGUG